GACGAACGCUGGCGGCGUGCUUAACACAUGCAAGUCGAACGGUGAAGCGCCUUCCUUUUUGGUGGGUGUGGAUGAGUGGCGAACGGGUGAGUAACACGUGAGUAACCUGCCCCCUUCUUCUGGAUAACCGCAUGAAAGUGUGGCUAAUACGGGAUAUUCUGGGUCUGUCGCAUGAUGGGUCUGGGAAAGAUAUUGUUUCGGUGGGGGAUGGGCUCGCGGCCUAUCAGCUUGUUGGUGGGGUGAUGGCCUACCAAGGCGGUGACGGGUAGCCGGCCUGAGAGGGUGGACGGUCACACUGGGACUGAGGCACGGCCCAGACUCCUACGGGAGGCAGCAGUGGGGAAUAUUGCACGAUGGGCGCAAGCCUGAUGCAGCGACGCCGCGUGAGGGAUGGAGGCCUUCGGGUUGUGAACCUCUUUCGCCAGUGAAGCAGGCCUGCCUCGUUUGUGGGUGGGUUGACGGUAGCUGGAUAAGAAGCGCCGGCUAACUACGUG
rnacentral:rRNA from 1 species